UUAGUUUGUUUCUUUAUUUUCAGUUUUACAGAGAAAUCCAAAGUAAUCUUAUUUUCAAUACUUCUUCAUGAUCGUGAAUAAAUAUUUACAUAAGUGUGAAACUGAGAAUUAGACCUGACAUUAGAAGGGCAUCUACUUUAAUAAUGUAAAUAGAAGUAGUCACAUUAAACCAUAAAAUAUUUGUAAAACUUUCAUCUUCCAUUAACAGCUAAUGACCCAUUCUCCUGCCCCCACCAAGUUGCAAAUUCUUAACUUUACAAGGUUUUGAUAUUGCUUAAAACACAGAUUAGAAAGAAAAUGUAUUUGAUGUCUAGAUUUAUUUGUGCAUCAUAGUGACCUCCUCCACACUUUUUUUUUUAAUUUAGCAAAGCUAAGGAAACCAGAUAGCCCCCAGAGUGAUUUGUUUUGCUUCGUUUUAUUAUACACAGAGGGUGAAACUGGGAAAAGCUUCUGAUGGUGGAAAUAGUCCAAAUAAAAGUAUAGCUUAAUAAAAACUAGGAUUUAGGAAAAAGGUGAAAUCUAUAUUUCCCUGGUUUUAACAUAAUUAUAUUUUGAUUAGAUAUUAAUAUCAUCAGUGGGUAUUAUUAGUAUGUUUUACAUGAAUUUUAUUUGUGGACAGAGGCAAUGCUAACUUACUUGUGAGGUGCAAAUCACUAAUCUUAGCUAAUUAAGACUUGGAAAUAUUAAUCACUAAACUACAUUCCUCCCUCUAUUGGCAGAUAAGGGAAUCACAGUCUUAGUGGCUUAGGAGGAAAUGCUUGUAGAGAAGUGGUGUAUUUUUUAAAAAGUAAAUAUUGCACAGAGAGUACUCAGGGGAUGUUUAGGAAGAAGAAAAACAUCAUAAGAAAUGAUAACUGAAAAACUGUAUAUACAUACCUACAUUAGAAAUGUUUAUUCAGCACAUCGGGAGUGUAAUUCUGAUAUGGUAUCUCCAUCUUUAUCUUCUAUAACCAUCCAUGGUUUAUGCACAUUUAAUUUCUUAAAUGUUAUCCUAUUUCAAGGAGAAUGCCUUAGGAGCUGCACAAUUUCCCUAAUGCAUUUAGGAGUUGAGGCUUUAAAAAAAAUUAACAUUACCACUUUUCAGAAUAUGAUUAAAUUUUUAUGUAUUCUCAGGAUGUUAGUAAAGUAACAAUAAUUAGAUAACAAAUGUGUUAACAAUGGU
rnacentral:lncRNA from 1 species